rnacentral:snRNA from 1 species
GUGCUCAUUUUGGCAGCACCUAUACUAAAAUUGGAAUGAUACAGAGAAAAUUAGCAUGGCCCCUGCCAGGAUGACUGGCUAUAUUUGUUUUCUCUCCCUUU